rnacentral:rRNA from 1 species
CACUCCUACGGGAGGCAGCAGUGGGGAAUAUUGCACAAUGGGCGCAAGCCUGAUGCAGCCAUGCCGCGUGUAUGAAGAAGGCCUUCGGGUUGUAAAGUACUUUCAGCGGGGAGGAAGGCAAUACGGUUAAUAACCGUGUUGAUUGACGUUACCCGCAGAAGAAGCACCGGCUAACUCCGUGCCAGCAGCCGCGGUAAUACGGAGGGUGCAAGCGUUAAUCGGAAUUACUGGGCGUAAAGCGCACGCAGGCGGUCUGUCAAGUCGGAUGUGAAAUCCCCGGGCUCAACCUGGUAACUGCAUUCGAAACUGGCAGGCUUGAGUCUUGUAGAGGGGGGUAGAAUUCCAGGUGUAGCGGUGAAAUGCGUAGAGAUCUGGAGGAAUACCGGUGGCGAAGGCGGCCCCCUGGACAAAGACUGACGCUCAGGUGCGAAAGCGUGGGGAGCAAACAGGAUUAGAAACCCCGGUAGUCCC